rnacentral:tRNA from 1 species
GCCUGAGUGGCCGAGCGGUUCUAGGCGCUACAGUCUGGAACGCUGCGGCCGCAGGUUCGAACCCUGCCUCGGGCA